rnacentral:tRNA from 1 species
GGAUAGAGAGCUCAGUGGCACAGCGCCUGCCUGGCAAGCACAAGAUCCUGAGUUCAAUUCUCAGUACCA